UACGUAGGUCCCGAGCGUUGUCCGGAUUUAUUGGGCGUAAAGCGAGCGCAGGUGGUUUAAUAAGUCUGGUGUAAAAGGCAGUGGCUCAACCAUUGUGUGCAUUGGAAACUGUUAGACUUGAGUGCAGUAGAGGAGAGUGGAAUUCCAUGUGUAGCGGUGAAAUGCGUAGAUAUCGGGAGGAACACCAGUAGCGAAGGCGGCCAUCUGGCUGGUAACUGACGCUGAGGUGCGAGAGCGUGGGGAGCAAACAGG
rnacentral:rRNA from 1 species